rnacentral:lncRNA from 1 species
CUCAUGAGGGAGCAGAACAUCCUCAAACAGAUCUUUGGCAUUCUGAAGGCCCCGUUCCGUGAGAAGGGGGGUGAAGGUCCCCUGGUGCGGCUGGAGGAGCUGUCAGACCAGAAGAACGCCCCCUACCAGCACAUGUUCCGCCUGUGCUACCGCGUGCUGCGGCAUUCCCAGGAGGACUACCGCAAGAACCAGGUGCGCCGCUGCCCCGCUGGCCCACUCGCUGGAUGCACGUUCCUUCCUCAGCA